rnacentral:rRNA from 1 species
CUAAUUUUUUUUUGUUUAGCUUUCUUUAACGCCCUUGUCUUUUGAGAACCGAAGUUUCCUUGGUAGGCUUGCCUGCCAGUUGGACAAUAUACAAAUCUUUUAAUUUUGAGUCAGCGUCUGAUUAAAGUAAUAAUUACAACUUUCAACAACGGAUCUCUUGGUUCUGGCAUCGAUGAAGAACGCAGCGAAAUGCGAUAAGUAGUGUGAAUUGCAGAAUUCAGUGAAUCAUCGAAUCUUUGAACGCACAUUGCGCCCCUUGGUAUUCCAUGGGGCAUGCCUGUUCGAGCGUCAUUUGUACUCUCAAGCUAUGCUUGGUGUUGGGUGUUUGUCCUUGCCUUUUUGCGUCUGGACUCGCCUUAAAAUGAUUGGCAGCCGGUGUUCUGGAGUAAAGCGCAGCACAUUUUGCGAUUUUCCUCAGCUACAUAGGCAACCACCAAGUCAAUAUCUAACACUUUUGACCUCGGAUCAGGUAGGGAUACCCGCUGAACUUAAGCAUAUCAA